AACGCUAGCUACAGGCUUAACACAUGCAAGUCGAGGGGCAUCAUGGUGGUUGCUUGCGACCGCUGAUGGCGACCGGCGCACGGGUGAGUAACGCGUAUCCAACCUUCCCAUGACUAAGGGAUAACCGGUAGAAAUGCCGACUAAUACCUUAUAUUGUUCUUCCAUGGCAUCAGCAGAGAACUAAAGAUUUAUCGGUUAUGGAUGGGGAUGCGUCUGAUUAGGUAGUUGGUGAGGUAACGGCUCACCAAGCCCUCGAUCAGUAGGGGUUCUGAGAGGAAGGUCCCCCACAUUGGAACUGAGACACGGUCCAAACUCCUACGGGAGGCAGCAGUGAGGAAUAUUGGUCAAUGGACGAGAGUCUGAACCAGCCAAGUAGCGUGCAGGACGACGGCCCUACGGGUUGUAAACUGCUUUUCCGGGAGGAUAAAGUGAGCCACGCGUGGUUCAUUGCAGGUAUCCCGGGAAUAAGGACCGGCUAAUUCCGUGCCAGCAGCCGCGGUAAUACGGAAGGUCCGGGCGUUGUCCGGAUUUAUUGGGUUUAAAGGGAGCGUAGGCGGAGCGUCAAGCCAGCAGUGAAAUGUAGCGGCCCAACCGCUGCACUGCUGUUGGAACUGGCGCCCUUGAGUGCACACGAGGCAUGCGGAAUUUGUGGUGUAGCGGUGAAAUGCUUAGAUAUCACGAAGAACUCCGAUUG
rnacentral:rRNA from 1 species